GUGGAUUAGUGGCGAACGGGUGAGUAACACGUGAGUAACCUGCCCUUGACUCUGGGAUAAGCGUUGGAAACGACGUCUAAUACCGGAUACGACCUUCGGAGGCAUCUCCUGGGGGUGGAAAGAAUUUUGGUCAAGGAUGGACUCGCGGCCUAUCAGGUAGUUGGUGAGGUAACGGCUCACCAAGCCGACGACGGGUAGCCGGCCUGAGAGGGUGACCGGCCACACUGGGACUGAGACACGGCCCAGACUCCUACGGGAGGCAGCAGUGGGGAAUAUUGCACAAUGGGCGCAAGCCUGAUGCAGCAACGCCGCGUGAGGGACGACGGCCUUCGGGUUGUAAACCUCUUUUAGUAGGGAAGAAGCGAAAGUGACGGUACCUGCAGAAAAAGCACCGGCUAACUACGUGCCAGCAGCCGCGGUAAUACGUAGGGUGCAAGCGUUGUCCGGAAUUAUUGGGCGUAAAGAGCUCGUAGGCGGUUUGUCGCGUCUGCUGUGAAAUCCCGAGGCUCAACCUCGGGCCUGCAGUGGGUACGGGCAGACUAGAGUGCGGUAGGGGAGAUUGGAAUUCCUGGUGUAGCGGUGGAAUGCGCAGAUAUCAGGAGGAACACCGAUGGCGAAGGCAGAUCUCUGGGCCGUAACUGACGCUGAGGAGCGAAAGCAUGGGGAGCGAACAGGAUUAGAUACCCUGGUAGUCCAUGCCGUAAACGUUGGGAACUAGAUGUGGGGACCAUUCCACGGUCUCCGUGUCGCAGCUAACGCAUUAAGUUCCCCGCCUGGGGAG
rnacentral:rRNA from 1 species